UAGUACGGCGAGUGAAGAGGGAAGAGCCCAAGAUUGAAAGCUGGCGUCUUCGGCGUCCGCAUUGUAAUCUCAAGAAGUGUUUUCCGCUUCGGACCAUGCCUAAGUCCCUUGGAAAAGGGCAUCAUAGAGGGUGAUAAUCCCGUACAUGGCAUGGAGCGCCCGAAGCUUUGUGAUACGCUUUCUACGAGUCGAGUUGUUUGGGAAUGCAGCUCAAAAUGGGUGGUAAAUGCCAUCUAAGGCUAAAUAUUGGGGAGAGACCGAUAGCGAACAAGUACAGUGAUGGAAAGAUGAAAAGAACUUUGAAAAGAGAGUUAAACAGUACGUGAAAUUGCCAAAAGGGAAGGGUAGGAGGUCAGAGAUGCGUCGCAGGAUUCAGCCUUGCUUUUGCUUGGUGUUUUUCCUGCGUUGCAGGCCAACGUCGGUUUUGGGCACUGGAGAAGGGUAGGAGGAACGUGGCACCUCUCGGGGUGUGUUAUAGCCUCCUACUGGAUACAGCGACCGAGACCGAGGAACGCAGCGUACUCGUAAGAGCGGGCCUUUUGGCACCUUUACGCUUAGGGCGUUGGCAUAAUGGCCCUCUACCACCCGUCUUGAA
rnacentral:rRNA from 1 species